GCUUCCGUAGCUCAGUUGGUUAGAGCUUCGUACUAAUACUUGCUCCUCGAGCUAGUCUUGGUAAUGCGAAGGUCGCAGGUUCAAGCCCUGCCGGGAGCA
rfam:Escovopsis weberi scaffold00008, whole genome shotgun sequence.